AAGUCGUAACAAGGUCUCCGUAGGUGAACCUGCGGAGGGAUCAUUACAAGAAUUAACCCGGUUUACCACCGGGGCUAUUCACAACCCUUUGUUGUCCGACUCUGUUGCCUCCGGGGCGACCCUGCCUUCGGGCGGGGGCUCCGGGUGGACACUUACAAACUCUUGCGUAACUUUGCAGUCUGAGUAAAUUUAAUUAAUAAAUUAAAACUUUUAACAACGGAUCUCUUGGUUCUG
rnacentral:misc_RNA from 1 species